rfam:Fonsecaea multimorphosa CBS 102226 unplaced genomic scaffold supercont1.21, whole genome shotgun sequence.
CCUGAUGAUGAUCUCAUGUAUUUCGCUGUGUUCUUACUGAAUCCUCAUGUCGAUUAUACAUCACCUUGGAGAACUGAAAC